rnacentral:lncRNA from 1 species
GAAAUCAAAGGAGAACUAAACGCUGGAUCUUCAGUACACGGGAAGGGUAGGAUUCACUCCCAGAGGUCGAAGAACAGAGAGGAGAGAAUUCUCCCACAUGCCCCACCCUUCUGGGGCCUUCCUGACCCCACUCUGCCCUCCUCCUAGCUCCGCCUCUGCCAGCUACUUUGGGGGACUAGGUUGGGAUUCUCCACUUUUACCGAAGGCCUUCCAUGUGUCUAACUGCAGUUCUCUCUGUUGCAAGUUAAGCCGGAACUGAAAGACCAGAAACCAGCCUGCCCUAGUCAAAGAAAGUUAGGGCCCAACCAGCCUCUCCCCAAGAAGCAGGGUAAGGUGGGGCAUUCAUCUCUCUGGACCCUUUUCCCCAGCCUGAGCCAGCCUUUGGGGGUAGGGAGGAGGUCCCAGGGAAGAACCUGGUUGCCAAAGUCUCGGCCAGUUGGAGAAGAGAUGGGUCUCCCGAGGAUACCCAAGCCCAAGCUCUACACUGUCCCAAGCCUCAACUCCCGACCCAUGGCCUGUGGUGAGAGGUGCUAACAACAUGACCUGCUUUCAUCUUGACCUUCCCAGCCCACCCAGAGAAAAGGGAAUCUUGGCUAAAAAAAGGCUGGAAGAGGGGAGAACCCUGGCACUGCGGGUGGGGCUGGGAGGAGCCCAGGCAACCUUACUGGUGAGAAUCUCAUGGCUCUUCAAGGUGAAUAUGAUGAUGAUUUCCCUGGGGUUUCUUUCAAUACUCAGAAGCCGCCCCGAGUUGGAAAGCACAUGCAUACUUGGGGAGGCCAGGGGAGGAAAAGGGGGGCGGCUCACUCUGACAGUAAAUGAAGAAAGUGGAAACAAAUUCAAGGAGCAGGCAGAGCUCCCGGUUUCACCAGAGCCCAACGGUUGGUAAUAAGGAUGAGAACAAUGUGCCUUCACUUCCUGGGAUCAGAACAGCACAUGGCCGCACAUGUACGGGUAUGCAUGUGCUUCCAUAAUCAUAUACUUUCCCAGCUUCUACUCUGCCUGUGGUCUAAUUUCAACUCCUUCAGCUGCUGUACCCACCCAUAAAAUUAUGAGUGUAAAAGCACUUUGCAAACCCUGAUACUCUAUGAAGAAGUAAAAAGUAGUGCUGUAAUUAUUAUCAUUAUUAUGUCCAAUGGUUGAGGUUUCCGCUGCCCACCUGUCAGCUAUGUGAGGCCUAAAGAGAGGGAGGGCUAGGCCAUUCCUCAGCUUCUGAGGUUCCUGGCCCUUUUCCCCUUCCAUCUGUCCACAGCUGACUGCUAAGCUGGAUGCGUAGGGGAAAGCAGAGAAAAGGUGAUUUACUGGGACACAGAGACACAGGCUGGAAGAGAUAGCAUGUGUUUCCUUAAAAUUUGAAGCAUUUGGCUGGGCACAGUGGCUCACACCUGUAAUCCCUGCACUUUGGGAGGUAAAGGCAAGAGGAUUUCCUGGGCCCAAGAGUUAGAGGCUGCAGUGAGCUAUGAUUGUGCCAUUGUACUCCAGCCUGGGAGACAGAAACCCCCUCUCUUAAAAAAAUAAAAAAAUAAAAAAUGGAACCAUUGCUCUGAGUUUCUAAUAGGGGGAGU